rnacentral:rRNA from 1 species
CCCUUAGAUGUUCUGGGCCGCACGCGCGCUACACUGACUGACUCAACGAGUUUACAACCUGUGCCGAAAGGUAUGGGUAAUCUUUUGAAAUUCAGUCGUGAUGGGGCUAGAUUAUUGCAACUAUUAAUCUUCAACGAGGAAUGCCUAGUAAACGCAAGUCAUCAGCUUGCAUUGAUUACGUCCCUGCCCUUUGUACACACCGCCCGUCGCACCUACCGAUUGAAUGGUCCGGUGAAAUCUUCGGAUCUGAGAGAUGUUGGAUUAAUUUCUGACGCCUUUUGGAAAAGUCGCUUAAACCUUAUCAUUUAGAGGAAGGUGAAGUCGUAACA